CUGAGAGACUUUGAAUUGUGACCCGCCCCUGAAUCCUCAGUUUCUCAGUCUCUGUUUCUCAAGGGGGAAAGAACAAGUUCUUCUCAUUCUCUCUCAACCUUCAACUCGGCAUCAUCAUUCUAUCGGAAAAUGGUGUCAGCAACGACAGGAUGGUACAGAGGAAAGCUCAUGAACUGAUUAUGCAUGCGAGCAGAUCUAACGUUUCUCAAUUUUCAUUCAUUCAUAGAUUGAAUUUGGAAUGCACUUUCAUCCAUCAAUUAAUCUGAAAAAAAUUCUACAUUAUUGUUUUUGUUGCAGAUCGGAAAAUGGCGUCAUCAACGACAGGAUGGUACAGAGGAAAGGUGAAAGGUGUUCCUUUAGGGGAUUGCUUGGUCAUUGUGGCCUUGACAUCCACCAAGCCCAGUCCCUUGCUUAAGAAGAGCAUCACUCUUUCCUCCUUGAUUGCUCCUGGACUGGUGCUUAACAUCUUUAGAAGAUCGAGAACCAUUCAGUGAUGUUUAACCUAUACGAAUAUGGAGGAAGACUUGAAGAUAGUGGAGCAAUGAUUGGCAAAAAAGUUUGAGGCUCUUCGUGAUAAGUUGAUGAGCUCCAUUAAGGGCUUUACUGAAGCUAAUUAGUGAAGAAGUCUUUACUGAAUAAAACUCAUAACUUGAAUCCACACCUUUAUUGAGUUCAGUGGCGUGUUUGUUUCUUCGAAUUCCAUAGCCUUUCCUCCAAUUUGAACCACCCAUAUAUUUCUCACACUCAGAAACAAUGUCAUCACCCCCCUUCAACCGUUCACCGACAUGUUUGUUUCCUCGAAUUGCUUAGCAUUUUCAAUUCCUCCAAAUUGGAUCAUCCAUCUCUUCCUCGCUCUCCGACUCUUCAUCGCCUUCAUCAGACCAACCACUUCCCCUGCAUGCCUUCGCUUCUUCUUCACCAGACUCAAGAACACUAUCACCACCUUCUUCUUCUUCUUCAUCACCAUCGAGGAAUGUGGGUUGAGUCAAAGUCCCCUCCCCCCCCCCCCGCAAUUUCAAUUUGUAGUUCCUCCGAAAAUGCGAACAAGUCCUCCGUGUUUGACCCUCACUUUUUUCCAGUUUCCUCCUCUACACUCUCCGCAUUGUUGUUCUUGUCGAUCAGAACAAAUAAAUAAUCAGAUUGAAAAGCCUGCUACGAGUUUAAUACACUAAUUAACUCCUCCCUUACAUCACAAUCCAAAGAGUAAUGAAAAGUAAAUAUUCAUAUUCAUACAUAUGAAAAAAAAACAGAAUCCUUUGGCUUGAGCUCUCCAUUCAUGCUCCAUAUGAUUAAUUUUUGUCAAAUUCUAUAGUAUAUAUGUGUACAAUUGAUAUCUGGAGUUAUUUCUCUGUACAAGGGGUUUGUUUAAAUAGAAACAGAAUAAGUAAACCUCUAACAGAAUUCUAACUAAUCACUGUUGAAGGAGAUUACGAAAUAUAACAACACUAUUAAAUUUGAGUGACUAAAGACAUAGUUAACCAACAAAAAACAUUUAUUCAAAGUUCACUGGUUGUGAUUCAUAUAUCUGUGCUACAUGGGAAACGUGGUCAAAAUGUGAAAUCGUAAUAGAGCUUUGAGGUCAUCAAACAUUUAGAACGAAUGGUAGAAUUUUUUUGAACUAAUUAACACAGCACAUUUUGGUGAAUCUGGAUAAAAUGAGAUUAUCACUUCUAGAUUAAUAGAUUAGCUAUUGUAGCAGCAUGCCAUUAAAUAGAUUGCAAACUGGACAGUUUAUCUCAUCAAAUACUAAAGUUCUUUUCUAACAUAUAGAUUUUAUUCCUUUAUGUCUGAGAAUGUUAUUUUUUAAUCUACUGUUUUUUUUCUUCUUUCCCAAACUUGUUAGAGUUUUGGAAGGAUAGGACACCUUUAUGCGAGAAGAUCGAAAUACUGCACUUAAAUUGGAUCAGUACCCUGGCAGAAGAUUGUUGAUCACCAAGUCAGUAUUCUGCUGAUGACCUUUUCACUGAGGCUCUGAAUUAGGUUGCAGAUUCAGAGAGUUCUCAAUCACUGAUCUGCUACAUUGUCUGCAGUUUCUAAACUGCUGAUUUAAUUUGGUAUGCACCAGAUUCAUGAGGUCCAUUCCAAAGCUAGUUGAAUAAGCUGGUAUAAUAGAAGGAAAUCUCUACAUUGGUAUUUGAUGGCAAAGAGAAACGGAUAUGGAAAGAAGAUGGUGGAUCUCCUUUAGCUUGAACCACAAGAAAUUAAAAUAUACUUCAUCCUAUGAUAAUGUUCUGAUUUAGACUUGAAAUUUUUGGUGCAAUAAAAUAAACCAAUUAAUUGUUUCUGCUUUGCCACUAGAAUAUUAUGUCAUAAGUGGUAGGUGCAAUAAUAAAGUUUUAUGUCCAAUUUUGAGAAAA